GCUUGCUACUUAUUGUUUGAAUUUGACGAUGUCCAUCUAUUUCUUUAUCAUUAUAAAUUCCUUCUUAAUGAUCUAUAGCUUAUAAAGUUUUGUUAAUAUUGCAGGUUGGUCUCACUUUACAACGUUCAGGGUUGUUCGCAUUCUGGAGGCCUUUUUAUUGUACAAGCUAUGCGCCGUCAACCACGUCAAAGGAGAUUUGUCGUGCCAAUAGGGAACUUGGGAGCAACAUGUUUUUGGCAACGACAAUGGAAAUACACUGCUGACUAAAGG